CUUAUGUGGGGCAUGAACUUGCUUAUCUCAAGACAUGAAUUUGCUCCAGUGGGUCUUGCAUUUUUUCAGGCUAAUAAUUCCUAUGAACUUCACUGACAAUUCUUGUUUGAAAAGUGUAGGACUGAAGCACUGUGGAAGUACCUCUUCAUUCUGUGUUCAGUAGGGGUUCUUCUUGAAAACCUGGUGGAGGUGAAGGUAGGGUGUCAGGAGAGCUCAUCUUGUAAAGGUCUUGCGCUGGCAAUCUCUGGACAAUGUCCAUGUAGAUAGAUAUUUGUCAAGAGCAGAGGAAAAACUUGUCUGUCUCUAAGAAUAAAUUUUGCCAUUUCUUCACAUGAAGGGUGUAGAUGUAACUUUGACUAGAUGCUAUAUGGGAGAGAAGUUUGUGCACGGGCCUUGCUGGAGCAGUUCUGCUCCUUGUGUGUGUUGAAGGUGCACAAUUUUCUGCCUGCUGUAUGCUGUCAUACAUCUGACCUUCAGCUGGGGUAGAUGAGUGCGUUUCCAACAAAGUCCGCACAAAUCAGGCUGAGAUUCUGGCCUUGUGAUUUUGAGUUUUUGUCAGCAAAAAGGCAUGUGUCACUUCAAACUUAUUUUCUCUGUCAAAUCUUGUGUCAUCCAUAUGCAAUCUGUUAACUAUUGUCCAUGUAGGAGUUCGGACUGCUAGUGUGAUUAUUGCUCUGACGGAUGGAGAGUUGCAGGACGUUCAGUUCUAUUAUGCAGAACAAGAAGCCAACAGAGCCAGAAGCUUUGGAGCUAUCGUUUAUUGUGUUGGAGUGAAAGAUUUCAAUGAAACUCAGCUGUCAACAAUAGCUGACAGCAUCGAUCAUGUUUUUCCAGUUACGGGAGGCUUUUAUGCCCUAAGAGGAACCAUUGAUUCAAUUCUCAAGAAAUCUUGCAUUGAGAUUCUUGCUGCUGAGCCAUCCAGUGUUUGCGCAGGAGGUAAGCUCUCACAAAAUUGGGGGUGGUAAGGCAAGUAAA